rnacentral:tRNA from 1 species
AAGGCCUUAAGUUAAGAAAACUAAUAUCCUUCAAAGCUAUAAAUAAAGAAUGACCCUUUAGACCUUA